CAAAAACAUGUCCUUUUGUUUAUUAAUUUAAGGUUUGGCCUGCCCAAUGAGGAAUUCAAUGGACGCAGUAUUUUAACUGUGCUAAGGUAGCAUAAUCAUUUGUCUUUUAAUUAAGGGCUGGAAUGAAGGGUUGGACGAGGCAUUAGCUUUCUUUGAUUUAAUUUAGGAAUUUAAUUUUUGAGUUAAAAAGCUUAAAUUUAUUUGUGGGACGAGAAGACCCUAUAGAUCUUUAUAAUUUUAUGCUUUAAUAAUUUAGGGAUUUAUAUGUUUUAAGCAGAUGAAUUAUUUUGUUGGGGUGACUGUAGAAUUUAAAUAACUUCUAUUUUUUAUUUUCAUUAAUUAAUGUUUUUUUUGAUCCAUAAUUUAUGAUUAGAAGAAUAAGUUACCUUAGGGAUAACAGCGUAAUUUCCUCGGAGAGUUCAUAUUGAUGAGGGAGUUUGCGACCUCGAUGUUGGAUUAAAAUAAGUUGUAGAUGCAGGAGUCUAUUUACUAGGUCUGUUCGACCUUUGAAUUUUUACAUGAUCUGAGUUCAAACCGGGAA
rnacentral:rRNA from 1 species